CCGGACGCUUAACCGACUGCGCCACCCAGGCGCCCCUGAGUCGAACGUUUUAAACAGACCCUGAAAUGAAUAUAUCUGUAUAUAUUACAAAUAAAUAAUAUAUAUGUGUAUAUAUAGAUAUAUAUAUACAGUUUAAGAACUUAAACCCAAUAUUCACUUAUAAUUACAGACUGAAUUAUUAUAAGUGCAUUUUUUCUAAAAACUGCUAAAUUAUUCCUUACAGUCUUAUUAGUUAUACAGAGCAAAUUUUAUUGCUUUUCAUUCACAGAUGAGGAAAGCAAUGUCACAAUUAUCUUAUUUUCUUCCUCCUAGAGCUAGAAAACUGGCAUACUGUCCCAGAUUUUCUGGCUACAAGUGUGGGGCACCCUCGCUCUAAAGCACACUGCUUCUCUCAUCAAUGUAUAUGUGACUGAAAGACAUGUUGGGGGAGAUUGAAAAUCCAUAGACACAAGACCCUGAAUCAUCUUGCUUUUUAAUCUAUUUCUAUUUUUGACUGUUAAGAUCAACUCAGAAUCUCAUCUGAAAUAAAGAUACAAAUAUAUUUUUAUAUCUGGGCUUAUUUUUAGCGCAAAAUGAUGCUGUUGUACAAUAGGUCUCAUCUGACAUGUACAUCAUCUGCUGAAGUAUAUGUGCUGAUAUUUAGCACAAUAACUGAUAUAUAGUCUCCACAGGUGAGUCAGAGAGAAGAACUUUCAUUAGUUUUUAUAAACCGUAACUUUGCCAAAGAAAGGCAAGAGACCAUACAGCUAUAAGCCUAAGGAUUGACUGUCCAAGUACAUGUCUUUAGCUCCCUCAGGUCAAUGUUUUUACAGUGAUCAAUUAAAAUAAUAACAGUAAUAAACAUUUUUAAAUGAGGCAGUUAAUUGCAUAUCUCCAUGUGUAUUACCAAUAAUGGUCUAGAUCCUACAAUGCAUCUAAUUUUUUCAAAAAUGUAGGAUGAUGCUAAUGCUCUCCGUAUCCUACUAAAAAUUCUAUUUAAUUCCUAUCUGAGUCCAAGAAAUAUUUAUGGCAUGUAAGGUGUGGGGUUUUUAGCUAUACUUCUCAAAAUCAUAGCUUCUGGGUGAGUUAACCAUUCUGUUUUGUGGGAUUUUCAUCUUGACACUAUGGUUGCAAAUAAUUUUAUCUUGUUUAUCUCCAUUUUUAAAGGCUCAAUUUGCUGUGUUGUUGAGAACAGACUGGAAGAGGUGAUCGGAAAAGGCAGAAAGACUUCUUUGAAGACUAUUACAGUCAUUCUGCUGAGAGAUGACUACAUGGAUGGAGUGAGAAUUACAGAGGAAGGAGAGAAACCAGCAUAAACACUUAGAAGGAGCACCAGUAAGGCAGCAGGAAAGCUGAGAGGUGUGGAGUCCUGCAAGCCUAGUGAAGAGCUCAGAGGACAGAAAAGCGAAGACUGCCCUGGUGAAGAAGACAGAAAAGGAGGAGAAACAAACUGAGGCAGAAUAGGGUAGUGUUAUCACAAUGUCUGGAAAGACUGUAUCCUGUGUAAAGCUGUAGGUUCUGAUGGAUGGAAAUUAAGUACAUACCCAAUUUGUGGCAAAACUGUUGCUAACAAAUUAUUAUCGGCUUCUUGAGGAAACCUGGGAAAUAUUCUUCGCAUGCCUUUGUAAAUAUAUAUAUUUUUUAAACAAUUAAGUUUACCUUAAUUGGAGCUGUGACAAUUUAGAAUAAAGGCAAUUUUCUAAUUGUCAUAAACCAGGCCAAAAGGAAAGUAGGACAAGAUCUCUGUCUUCGCUGUCAUGAAUCAUAAAGUAGUGAGUAGACAUUAAAUAAAAUUAGGGGUGCCUGAGUGGCUCAGUCGGUUAAGCGUCUGACUUCGGUUUAAGUCAUGAUCUCACAGUUCGUGAGUUCA